rnacentral:sRNA from 1 species
UUUCUUUUCUUUAUAAAUUUAAAAUUUAUUCACAAAAAAAAGACGGUUUUACAAUAAAUGCAUCGUUUAGCCAAAAAAUUUAAAAACUGAACAAGUACAAACUGAAUAGAAGAUCUAACGACAAUGAGUGCUAAACCAAUAUCGUAGCCCGCUCUUGUAGAUGGGUGAACCUGAAGUAGCCAAAGUACUCAACCGAUUCCGCAUAUUCUUAUCGAUCAUUUUGGCAAGAGAAGGAGCUGGAAUGGGUGACUCGCCAUGCCUUCUCCCAUUUCUCUCUUUCCAAAGACUGUGAGUAGUGAGCUGAAACACAUAUCGGAAAACAAA